UGGCUGCAGUGGGGAAUUUUGGACAAUGGGCGAAAGCCUGAUCCAGCAAUACCGCGUGCAGGAAGAAGGCCUUCGGGUUGUAAACUGCUUUUGUACGGAACGAAAAGGCUCUUUCUAAUAAAGAGGGCUCAUGACGGUACCGUAAGAAUAAGCACCGGCUAACUACGUGCCAGCAGCCGCGGUAAUACGUAGGGUGCAAGCGUUAAUCGGAAUUACUGGGCGUAAAGCGUGCGCAGGCGGUUUUGUAAGACAGGCGUGAAAUCCCCGGGCUCAACCUGGGAAUUGCGCUUGUGACUGCAAGGCUAGAGUACGGUAGAGGGGGGUAGAAUUCCGCGUGUAGCAGUGAAAUGCGUAGAUAUGCGGAGGAACACCGAUGGCGAAGGCAGCCCCCUGGACCUGUACUGACGCUCAUGCACGAAAGCGUGGGGAGCAAACAGGAUUAGAUACCCGUGUAGUC
rnacentral:rRNA from 1 species